GGGCUCUUUGAACUGAAGGCUCCAGUAAAAAAAGAAAAAAAAAGAGAGAAGAAGAGAAGACAGCGAAAAGCUGGAAAAAAGGAGAAGACAGCGGAAAGCUGGAAAACUCCCUGGAAAGGGGAAAAAGAAGAUCUCGGUAAUCCCGGUGCUGGUGAGAGCGGACAAGCCAAGCCAGACGUCUGUGAGCUGUGGAACGGAUCACGGAUAGAGGAGCUGAGAGAAAGCUGACCCUGAGGUCAGUCUAUGUUUGUGUAUUCACAGGUUUAAAGCAGAAGUAACUUCCUAGAGAAGAACAUGGAAACUCAUCAGCUGCAGAGACAAGCAGACAGCCUAAAGAGCAGAAGAGCGAGCAUGCUGAUGUGAACUGUAUCAAAACCACAGUUGACAGCAGAACAGCUUGAAUCCAACAUGCAAGAACAAUGGACUUUGGGUUUCAAGUGAAAAAGUGGGAAAAUUAAUAUUGUAAAGCCUCAUUUGUUAAAACAUGAGUGAAAGAAAAAUAACCUUUCUUGAAAAGUAAUCCAAGAAAAGAUUUAGGUUGAUUUUUUUUUAAUUUUUUUUUAAAAAAGAGAGGGGCAGAUGUUGGAGUCUGAGAUACAGACUGUGUGCCCUUGCUUUUAAUAUUUAGUUCCAGGAUUCAAAGAAACACUGAAUUUCAUAUAAUAUGAAAUUCAUGUGCAUGUUUUCAUGGUGAUACAUGAAAACAAAUGUUAAAGUUAAAUAGGAAAUGUGUAAAUGUGUAGAUUAGAAAGUUUCUUAAAUCACUGGGUGAAAAAGUAGUUUAGAGAACAGGAGACAAGAUGGAGGAUUUAGGGUGUUGUCUCUUGUCCUUCUUCUUUCUCCUUCAUGUUCCUCUCCUAGGGGUUUUUGGGUAGUAGUAAGUGAUUGGGUAGAAAAUGUCACAGUGCAGCACACAGGUGUUAGGUCAUUGGGUCACUAAGAAAAAUAGCUUAGUUGGCAUCUGUUAAUUGGGUAAAUAGACAUAUAAAAGACCUUGAAGAAGAUCUUUGUUAGCCAUUUUACCCCUUUUCUAUCAUAGUGCACAUAGCUCCUUGUACCUUGUAAUGCUGAUAAGAAAAAAUAAACAACUGAGACCGAACGAGAGAAAAAACCGCCUCCCUCUCAUCAAUCUUCAGUUCAAAGGGAAAAAGAACCCAAAUCUAAAAGUCCCUAAACAGACAGGCAAACAGCUUCAGGAGAAUCAGUUUCCACCCAUGAGGGGAAUAAAAUUGUGCCAGGUCAUAGCUCAGUCUUAGGUGGGAGAGGAAUGAAGCCUGCCCAGAUGGACGAGGUGGAGUUCAUAGUGGAGAACUUAAUGGUCACAGUCCCACAAGUGCUGGCCAGGGGGGAGGUCUUCAGACACUCCACCAAUACUGAGCAGAUUGUUUCCAGCUUUAGGAAGAAUAUCCCCUGAAAUUGCAUCUACAUGACACUGAGCAGGCAGAAAACCUCUCCUUUUUUUUCUUUUUGGUACUCCUUUGACAGCGAGCUGCACAGCCUAGAGAAGCGGGAAUUAAGUGAAUUAUGGUGCACAGGGGUAAAAAGCUUGUGAAGGAUAAAAGAGGGAUGACUAGAGACCAGAAGUUAAAACAAGGGGAGAUGGAAAAGGACUGGAAGAAAAUGGAUUUUGUAGAAGCAGACUUGCCCAUAGCUCUGGAAGAGUACUCUGCAUUUUGCUGUGGUUCAGCUUUGAAUUUAUUCUGCUGAUUCUAUAUAAUUCUAAAAUUCAAUUCAUAAUAACCUCCUAUUCACUAUAACCACCUUUCUUAUGGGUAUCUCCUUGUGUCAAUACUAUCUCCAUAUGUCAAUUUGCUAUGACAUUUUCCUUGGUUUAUCAAAGCGACAGACAUUGCACUCUGCUUCAAAAUGAUCUACUCUUAUGAAUAAAGAAAUACCGAUAUUUUCCAA